UUGCAGCCUCUGAGGGGGGAGGAAGAGAGUGUUUCUUUGAUUAGAUUAUGCGAUUGAAAGUUUUCUGGUUUUCCUCGUAGGGCUUGUAGCUCAGUCGGUUAGAGCGCGCGCUUGAUAAGCGUGAGGUCGGAGGUUCAAGUCCUCCCAGGCCCACCAGUUACACUAUGCAGCAAAUUGCUCUGAUCACUGAAAGUUGCUCUGAGUGAGAAUGUUAAAAUCUAGUGAAAUGUUCCCAAUUCUUUAUUGAAUAAUCCCUUAAAGAAAAUUUAUGCUUAAAUAAAUUCUUCUAAGAGCAUUCAGAGCCUCCAUAGGAACUCAAAGCCUUCCAUAGAAACGAAGUUUUCGCGAGAAUUUUUUCACUCCUCUUCAGUAAGGGGAAAACAGGAAAAUAACGAGGGAAAUAAAAGGCCAAUAUUGUAUUUCUUAAUCAAUUCAAUUAAUCAAUAUUGUCUCUCUCUUUGUAAAAAGCUUAAUGGUAAAAGUUUAAAAGAGCUUCUGUUUUAAAAGUAUGACGUUUUUA
rnacentral:misc_RNA from 1 species